AGUGAACGCUGGCGGUAGGCCUAACACAUGCAAGUCGAACGGCAGCACAGUAAGAGCUUGCUCUUACGGGUGGCGAGUGGCGGACGGGUGAGGAAUACAUCGGAAUCUACUUUUUCGUGGGGGAUAACGUAGGGAAACUUACGCUAAUACCGCAUACGACCUACGGGUGAAAGCAGGGGAUCUUCGGACCUUGCGCGAUUGAAUGAGCCGAUGUCGGAUUAGCUAGUUGGCGGGGUAAAGGCCCACCAAGGCGACGAUCCGUAGCUGGUCUGAGAGGAUGAUCAGCCACACUGGAACUGAGACACGGUCCAGACUCCUACGGGAGGCAGCAGUGGGGAAUAUUGGACAAUGGGCGCAAGCCUGAUCCAGCCAUACCGCGUGGGUAAAGAAGGCCUUCGGGUUGUAAAGACCUUUUGUUGGGAAAGAAAAGCAGCAGGUUAAUACCCCGCUGUUCUGACGGUACCCAAAGAAUAAGCACCGGCUAACUUCGUG
rnacentral:rRNA from 1 species